CUAGCGACUUCAGAGUUUGAUCCUGGCUCAGGAUUAACGCUGGCGGCAUGCCUAAUACAUGCAAGUCGAACGAGUGUAGCAAUACACUAGUGGCAAACGGGUGAGUAACACGUACCCAAUCUACCAUAAAGUGGGGGAUACCUAAAAGAAAUUUUAGUUAAUACCGCAUAGGACAUUAUUAUGACAUCAGAAAAUGUUUAAAAAUAGGUUUCUAUUGCUUUAUGAUGAGGGUGCGGCUUAUCAGAUAGUUGGUGAGGUAACGGCCCACCAAGUCAAUGACGAGUAUCUGUGCUGAGAGGCAAUACAGACACAAUGGGACUGAGACACGGCCCAU
rnacentral:rRNA from 1 species